GAUGAACGCUGGCGGCGUGCCUAAUACAUGCAAGUCGAGCGAACGGACGAGAAGCUUGCUUCUCUGAUGUUAGCGGCGGACGGGUGAGUAACACGUGGAUAACCUACCUAUAAGACUGGGAUAACUUCGGGAAACCGGAGCUAAUACCGGAUGAUAUUUUGAACCGCAUGGUUCAAAAGUGAAAGACGGUCUUGCUGUCACUUAUAGAUGGAUCCGCGCUGCAUUAGCUAGUUGGUAAGGUAACGGCUUACCAAGGCAACGAUGCAUAGCCGACCUGAGAGGGGGAUCGGCCACACUGGAACUGAGACACGGUCCAGACUCCUACGGGAGGCAGCAGUAGGGAAUCUUCCGCAAUGGGCGAAAGCCUGACGGAGCAACGCCGCGUGAGUGAUGAAGGUCUUCGGAUCGUAAAACUCUGUUAUUAGGGAAGAACAUAUGUGUAAGUAAAUGUGCACAUCUUGACGGUACCUAAUCAGAAAGCCACGGCUAACUACGUG
rnacentral:rRNA from 1 species